GACGAACGCUGGCGGCGUGCUUAACACAUGCAAGUCGAACGAAGAGCGAUGGAAGCUUGCUUCUAUCAAUCUUAGUGGCGAACGGGUGAGUAACGCGUAAUCAACCUGCCCUUCAGAGGGGGACAACAGUUGGAAACGACUGCUAAUACCGCAUACGAUCUAAUCUCGGCAUCGAGGAUAGAUGAAAGGUGGCCUCUACAUGUAAGCUAUCACUGAAGGAGGGGAUUGCGUCUGAUUAGCUAGGUGGAGGGGUAACGGCCCACCAAAGCGAUGAUCAGUAGCGCGGCUGGGAGGGAGAACGGCCCCAUUGGGACAUAGACACGGCCCCAAACCCCACGGGGGGGAGCAGUUGGGGAAUUUUCCGCAAUGGCGAAAGGCCUGACGGGGAAAGCCCGGGGGGGUGAGAAGGGCCUUGGGGUGUAAAAGUCCUUUUAAUGGGGAGAAAGGGCCUUUUUGAGAAAAGUGAAAAGAAUGGCGGGUACCGAAAAGAAAAGCACGGGCAAAUUCCGG
rnacentral:rRNA from 1 species